rnacentral:rRNA from 1 species
AGUGAACGCUGGCGGUAGGCCUAACACAUGCAAGUCGAACGGCAGCACAGUAAGAGCUUGCUCUUACGGGUGGCGAGUGGCGGACGGGUGAGGAAUACAUCGGAAUCUACUUUUUCGUGGGGGAUAACGUAGGGAAACUUACGCUAAUACCGCAUACGACCUACGGGUGAAAGCAGGGGAUCUUCGGACCUUGCGCGAUUGAAUGAGCCGAUGUCGGAUUAGCUAGUUGGCGGGGUAAAGGCACACCAAGGCGACGAUCCGUAGCUGGUCUGAGAGGAUGAUCAGCCACACUGGAACUGAGACACGGUCCAGACUCCUACGGGAGGCAGCAGUGGGGAAUAUUGGGCAAUGGGCGCAAGCCUGAUCCAGCCAUACCGCGUGAGUGAAGAAGGCCUUCGGGUUGUAAAGCCCUUUUGUUGGGAAAGAAAAGCAGCGGGUUAAUACCCCGCUGUUCUGACGGUACCCAAAGAGUAAGCACCGGCUAACUUCGUG